rnacentral:rRNA from 1 species
UACGAAGGGUGCAAGCGUUACUCGGAAUUACUGGGCUUAAAGGGCGCGUAGGCGGGCUCGCAAGUCAGGGGUGAAAUCCCACGGCUCAACCGUGGAAGUGCCUUUGAUACUGCGGGCCUGGAGGGAGGUAGGGGCGUGCGGAACUUCCGGUGGAGCGGUGAAAUGCGUAGAUAUCGGAAGGAACACCGGUGGCGAAAGCGGCGCGCUGGACCUCUUCUGACGCUGAGGCGCGAAAGCCAGGGGAGCAAACGGG